GCAUAUCAAUAAGCGGAGGAAAAGAAACCAACCGGGAUUGCCUCAGUAACGGCGAGUGAAGCGGCAAGAGCUCAAAUUUGAAAUCUGGCCCCUCCGGGGUCCGAGUUGUAAUUUGUAGAGGAUGCUUCGGGUGCGGCCCCCGUCUAAGUGCUCUGGAACGGGCCAUCGGAGAGGGUGAGAAUCCCGUCUGGGACGGGGUGUCCGCGUCCAUGUGAAGCUCCUUCGACGAGUCGAGUUGUUUGGGAAUGCAGCUCUAAAUGGGUGGUAAAUUUCAUCUAAAGCUAAAUACUGGCCGGAGACCGAUAGCGCACAAGUAGAGUGAUCGAAAGAUGAAAAGCACUUUGAAAAGAGAGUUAAACAGCACGUGAAAUUGUUGAAAGGGAAGCGCUUGCGACCAGACUCGCUUCCGGGGUUCAGCCGGCUUUCGGGCCGGUGUACUUCCCCGGGGGCGGGCCAGCGUCGGUUUGGGCGGCCGGUCAAAGGCCCCUGGAAUGUAACGCCUCUCGGGGCGCCUUAUAGCCAGGGGUGUCAUGCGGCCAGCCUGGACCGAGGAACGCGCUUCGGCACGGACGCUGGCAUAAUGGUCGUAAACGACCCGUCUUGAAACACGGACCAAGGAGUCUAACAUCUACGCGAGUGUUCGGGUGUCAAACCCGUGCGCGCAGUGAAAGCGAACGGAGGUGGGAGCCCCCUCGCGGGGCGCACCAUCGACCGAUCCUGAUGUCUUCGGAUGGAUUUGAGUAAGAGCGUAGCUGUGGGGACCCGAAAGAUGGUGAACUAUGCCUGAAUAGGGCGAAGCCAGAGGAAACUCUGGUGGAGGCUCGCAGCGGUUCUGACGUGCAAAUCGAUCGUCAAAUUUGGGUAUAGGGGCGAAAGACUAAUCG
rnacentral:rRNA from 1 species